ACGAACGCUGGCGGCGUGCCUAAUACAUGCAAGUAGAACGCUGAAGGAGGAGCUUGCUUCUCUGGAUGAGUUGCGAACGGGUGAGUAACGCGUAGGUAACCUGCCUGGUAGCGGGGGAUAACUAUUGGAAACGAUAGCUAAUACCGCAUAAGAGUAGAUGUUGCAUGACAUUUGCUUAAAAGGUGCAAUUGCAUCACUACCAGAUGGACCUGCGUUGUAUUAGCUAGUUGGUGGGGUAACGGCUCACCAAGGCGACGAUACAUAGCCGACCUGAGAGGGUGAUCGGCCACACUGGGACUGAGACACGGCCCAGACUCCUACGGGAGGCAGCAGUAGGGAAUCUUCGGCAAUGGACGGAAGUCUGACCGAGCAACGCCGCGUGAGUGAAGAAGGGUUUCGGAUCGUAAAGCUCUGUUGUAAGAGAAGAACGAGUGUGAGAGUGGAGAGUUCACACUGUGACGGUAUCUUACCAGAAAGGGACGGCUAACUACGUG
rnacentral:rRNA from 1 species